rnacentral:rRNA from 1 species
UGUAAGCGUAUACCAAAGUUGUUGCAGUUAAAACGCUCGUAGUCGGAAUUUGGCAGUUCCGGAUGUGUGCACGUCGUGUGCGCACUUCGCGGGGAUUGCUUUUGUGGUCUUGCGUAGGAUGAGGCACUUUUAUUAGUGAACGUCCUCACGCAACCACUUUUUACUGUGAGAAAAUCAGAGUGCUAAAAGCAGGCAUUUGCCGUGAAUGUAUUAGCAUGGAAUAAUAGAAUAGGACUUGGUUCUAUUUUGUUGGUUUGUUGGGACUGAGUAAUGAUUAAGAGGGACAGUUGGGGGCAUUUGUAUUUCGGUGCUAGAGGUGAAAUUCUUAGAUUACCGAAAGACAAACUGCUGCGAAAGCGUCUGCCAAGGAUGUUUUCAUUGA